rnacentral:lncRNA from 1 species
GGUGCUGGGAGCUCCAAGCUGAGCAGCCAAGCGGCGUGAAUCCAGACCUACAGCACCCAGCACCCAGGUGACAGGUGAGGGUGCAGGCAGAGAGGGGCAGGGUGCCAUGGUCACACAAGCCCAGAAACAAGAGGACUCACGCUCAAAUGGGCCCAGCCCCUGUCUCCUGCCUGAAGGAGGGAGCAGGAAGGGUCUUCUGCACACAGUCUCCUCCUGCAGAUAAAGGAGAGACCCAGGAAACCUGUCAGCACCAAGGUGCCUGGAUGCUGGCUGAGAUGGGCCAGUUCUCAGUCAGCCCCAGAGCCCAGCACUGCCCCUCUAGCCCACGAAAUGUCUGGCCUCUGCUUUCAUCCCCAUGCGCCCUCUCUGCCAGCCUGGCCAAGCAUCACUCCUUUUCCUGGCCAGUGGCCACCCCCACUUCAUCCCCUCGGCAAAAUGGGAAUCCCAGCCGUACAGCAGAAGGGAGCCAGUGGCAAGACCACCCGGGAGCACCAGUGACUGGGGGCCCUUUCUUCCACCCCGGAAAGCCCCGAGGAGGGAGAGGCGUGCACAGCAGGCUGAAAAGGAAAGGACAAAGGCGGCUGAGAGAGCCCGGCAUGAAAGGGCCCAGACGCAGUGCUGCAGGCCUGCUCCCCCUGCGCUGCCAGCCCCACCUCACCCACCUGGCUCGUCCUUGGACGAAGACCUCCCAGGCCUGGGAGGAUGGGGCAGGGAGUGGAAGCCUGGAUGCUGUCCUUGGGAGAUGGGCUCAUGGCCGAGGGCCCAGAUUAGCCUGCGAGGAGAGACAGGGAGGUGGACAGGGAGCAGGGAGCAGCCAGGACAGAGACUGGGAGGUCCAGCCUCCCCAGGGAGGGGCAUUCGCUGAGGCCUGCUGAGAUCUUGGCCGCCCUUGCCUCAGUCGCCUCGUCGGAAGCCAGUGUCUUGUGUGCGAAACACCUUGAUGGGCGAAGGCCCUUCACUUGCCUUUCUUCAUGUGCUCACUCAGUCAAUCAACCAAUGCUUGCUGAGUGCCUCCUAUGGGCCAGAGGCAUGCCAGGCUCAGUGCAUGCACAGUGAGCAAGGGGUGAACUCGGUGGGGAGGUCCACCCACCACCUGUCGGGGGAAAGCAGACUCAUCAAAUCCUUCCCCGGCGGGGGAAGCCUGUGCUGCCUGGCGAGAUGCAGCAGACACAGAAGAGCGGGUGCAGGGGGAGCACCCACACACAGGCCCGCCUGGAGGGCAGACAGCCUGGGGUAGUCCUGACGGAGGGGCCACUCUCUUGGGCUUUGUGUUUGUUCUUCUCUUGAUUCUCUUUAUAGUUUUCUCCCGUCACUGCGUCUCUACAGUCGUGUGUUGUGUUGUUUUUCCUGGUUCCAAACCAUAUUUUAUUUACUGGACAUACUGUUCUGUAACCUGCUUCUUUC